UGAUAAAGCCCACAUAAGCAUAGAUGAAAGAUGAUAGCUGUCUUGUUCUGUUUAUUCCUCUGAAAAUCCCACAACCUAUGUUUACUUCUCCCUCAUUUUGCAUUUUCCUCACUCAGUUCUGCACUUUAUUUAUUUGUCUUUUGUUUUGGGUGUUUGAUUUUCGGACCCAACUUCGGGAUACCAUCGAUGAACAUGCAUGCCCUUGCCAUUUAGUUCAGUAGGUUUUAGCUUUUUUUUUUGCAGACCCUAAAAGCUUUACAUGAUUUAGGGUUUUCACUACUAUUUCAUUCACACAAUUGCAUGAACUUAAGCAUGGAUGAUGGUGUGUCAACUGAGAACAAUAGGCAUGUAGAUAUGUUGCUCUCUGUCACCAUUUUUCUCUGUUAUGUUUACCUAUUGCUAGACGUCUCUUUUUCGUUUUCCCUUUAUUUUAUAUUACACAAGUUUACUCUUUGAACUAUAAACUGCCCAAUGAUAUAAAAAUAGACUAUUGAGCUGCUUGCUACAUGGUUUUGUUCAUAACCCACCUUGCAACAUUCUUUCUUUCUGGAUCUCUCUCUAUCUCUAAAUGUAUGUGUGUGUGUGCAUUAUGAUUUUUCUUUUUGUCUAUGUCUCUCUAGCUCUAUAUCUAUCUAUCUAUCUAUGAUGCAAGAAGGUUGUGAAUGAAUCCAUUGUAAAUGCUGUACAUGAUUUAUGUUUAGGUAUGAGAUCUGAGGGUGCUGUAUUUUCUUUUUUUUAUGUAGAUUGAGCUAAGCCAUAUUAUAUAACAUAGAGAUGCUGUCAUUGCAAGAGGGGUUUCUGCUAUGGUUACCAAAUUCAUACUAUAUAACAACAGUAUGCUGUUGCAGAAACUCAAAUUAUAUACAACUUUGUGUAGAGCCAUUUGCAAAUUUACCAUUCCAGAAACUCCUCAUUUCAUCAUUUGCAAAUUUACCCUGAUAUUUCAUUUUUCUUUAAUUUGAGUACUUUUGGUUGUUUAUUUCUGUUUUUCAUUUUUCAUUUCUUGUGGAUUUCCUUUUCAAUUGGUAACUAUGUAUUGUGCCGCUGCCGACUCUAUUCCCUCUGGAGAAAUUCCCUAGUGUCUUGUGGAUAUGCCCAAUGACGAAAGCUUAUAAAGAUAUAGUACUUUGAAUAUAAUUCAAAGCCUUUCCGUCCCUUCUGCCCUUUUCACACUGCCAUCACUAUUGACUUCUUUUUCUUCUUCUUCUUAUACACUGUUGUUGCCAUUAUUACUAUUAUUAUUAUUAUUAUUAUUAUUGUUCAUAGUGACUGUGGGUUGAGAUGGUGGAGGUUGUGCCUUGUGGGCACUCUCUUGAAGAGGAUGUUGAGAGGCUCUUACGGAUGUUGAAAAGGAAUCUAGCUGUCUGCCUGACUAUGCCCCAGUUGACACAUUAAGUUCAGAUAUCAUAUUACUAAUGGUUGUAUUUUGGCAAUUGUGUUUUGAAAAUUACUUGCAUUUUAACUGUUUUUUAUUGUCUUUGUCAAAGUCGGUAUUUUACUUGUUCGAUUUCCUUGGGAUAAAUUUGCAUAUAAUUUCUUCCCUAAAUGCCCGAUGAAGAUUUCCCUUGCUAGAGAUGUUACUCUGAAUAUCAUUCACAGCUUUUCCAUCCAUUCUGCCUUUCUUCCCACUGUCAUCACUUCUAACUAUGCUGUUGUUGCUGUUGUUGUUCUACUUCCUUUUCUUCUUCAUCUUCUCAUUUUCUUUGUUAUUGUUAUUAUUACUACUACUGACAGUGGAUAGAGACGGUAGAGGUUGUGUGUUUCUUUCUCUUGAGGAUUGCGAGAGGCUUUUAUGGAUGUUGAGAAAGGAUCACCUACCAAGUAUCUGAGGGCACCAUUUCUAUCUUGUUUUUGAAUAUUUUUUCAAUGGUUUCUGUUUGAAUACUUUAUUUGACAUGUUCAUUUCAUGAAUCAUGACUAUCCAUCGAGUAUCUAUUUGUCUUUGUAAAAUAAGUAUAUCCCAAUAUAUGAUAUUUUAUUUUUGGCUGUUUUCUUGAA